UACGGAGGGGGCUAGCGUUGUUCGGAAUUACUGGGCGUAAAGCGCACGUAGGCGGCUUUGUAAGUUAGAGGUGAAAGCCCAGGGCUUAACCCUGGAAUUGCCUUUAAGACUGCAUCGCUAGAAUUGUGGAGAGGUGAGUGGAAUUCCGAGUGUAGAGGUGAAAUUCGUAGAUAUUCGGAAGAAACACCAGUGGCGAAGGCGACUCACUGGACACAUAUUGACGCUGAGGUGCGAAAGCGUGGGGAGCAAACAGG
rnacentral:rRNA from 1 species